GCCAAGACUAGAGUCAUAUCCUGACAUAGCACUUGUCCUGGUGUGCUGGAGUCCUCGAAGACAAUCUGCUCGUCUUGACUCACUGGUGGGGGCAAUCAGUGUCCCUGUUAGUGCCCAGAUCAGAAAAAUGG